UCCUACGGGAGGCAGCAGUGGGGAAUUUUGGACAAUGGGGGCAACCCUGAUCCAGCCAUGCCGCGUGAGUGAAGAAGGCCUUCGGGUUGUAAAGCUCUUUCGGCCGGGAAGAAAUCGCAUGGGCCAAUACCCUGUGUGGAUGACGGUACCGGAAUAAGAAGCACCGGCUAACUACGUCCAGCAGCCGCGGUAAUACGUAGGGUGCGAGCGUUAAUCGGAAUUACUGGGCGUAAAGCGUGCGCAGGCGGUUUUGUAAGACAGGCGUGAAAUCCCCGGGCUCAACCUGGGAACUGCGUUUGUGACUGCAAGGCUAGAGUACGGCAGAGGGGGGUGGAAUUCCACGUGUAGCAGUGAAAUGCGUAGAGAUGUGGAGGAACACCAAUGGCGAAGGCAGCCCCCUGGGUCGAUACUGACGCUCAUGCACGAAAGCGUGGGUAGCAAACAGGAUUAGAUACCCUGGUAGUCCACGCCCUAAACUAUGUCAACUAGGUGUUGGGUGGGUAAAACCAUUUAGUACCGUAGCUAACGCGUGAAGUUGACCGCCUGGGGAGUACGGCCGCAAGGUUAAAACUCAAAGGAAUUGACGGGGACCCGCACAAGCGGUGGAUGAUGUGGAUUAAUUCGAUGCAACGCGAAAAACCUUACCUACCCUUGACAUGCCAGGAACUUGCCAGAGAUGGCUUGGUGCCCGAAAGGGAGCCUGGACACAGGUGCUGCAUGGCUGUCGUCAGCUCGUGUCGUGAGAUGUUGGGUUAAGUCCCGCAACGAGCGCAACCCUUGUCGUUAAUUGCCAUCAUUUAGUUGGGCACUUUAGCGAGACUGCCGGUGACAAACCGGAGGAAGGUGGGGAUGACGUCAAGUCCUCAUGGCCCUUAUGGGUAGGGCUUCACACGUCAUACAAUGGUCGGUACAGAGGGUCGCCAAGCCGCGAGGUGGAGCCAAUCCCAGAAAGCCGAUCGUAGUCCGGAUUGCAGGCUGCAACUCGCCUGCAUGAAGUCGGAAUCGCUAGUAAUCGUGGAUCAGCAUGUCACGGUGAAUACGUUCCCGGGUCUUGUACACACCGCCCGUCACACCAUGGGAGCGGGUUCCGCCAGAAGUAGGUAGCCUAACCGCAAGGAGGGCGCUUACCACGGCGGGGUUCGUGACUGGGGUGAAGUCGAAACAAGGUAGCCGUAGGGGAACCUGCGGCUG
rnacentral:rRNA from 1 species